GAUUCAGUGGUGCAGUGGUGGCACGCGUACCCGGUACGCAUGAAACGAGGGGUCGAUUCCCGCCUGAGGCCG